rnacentral:rRNA from 1 species
GGAGGGGUGCAAGCGUUGUUCGGAAUUACUGGGCGUAAAGCGUGUGUAGGCGGGAUUCGGGUAGUCGGGGUGUGAAAGCCCUGGGCUCAACCCAGGAAGUGCGCCCGAAACCCACGGAUCUUGAGUUCCGGAGGGGAUCGGGGAAUUCCCAGUGUAGAGGUGAAAUUCGUAGAUAUUGGGAGGAACACCGGCGGCGAAGGCGCCGAUCUGGACGGACACUGACGCUGAGACACGAAAGCGUGGGUAGCAAACAGGAUUAGAUACCCUGGUAGUCCACGCCGUAAACGAUGUGCACUAGGUGUCGGGGGUAUUGACCCCCUCGGUGCCGACGCUAACGCAUUAAGUGCACCGCCUGGGAAGUACGGCCGCAAGGCUG